rnacentral:snRNA from 1 species
AUGUCAUGAUCGACAAAUACGCC